AUGCGGGGACCUCGGGGAGGAGACCCAACCCAAACACAGGAUCCUCACGUUUCCAGACCUUGGAAGGGUCCAUAUGCUGAACUCAGACCCAAAGCUGGCGUUGUUGCAGAAAGCAGAAUGAAAACCACAAGUCUCCAAGCAAGCCUUGAAGUCUCAAGGAGAAGACAGGGAUUAACCCCAUCUCCUGCCUGCUGGUUCCUAAUCUCCUGUAGGAAUGUGACAUUCCAGGAAGGCUCUUCUUGGGGUGAUAAAGGGUUCAUUGUCAGAACCCAAUGAGAUGUACCUUUCCAUCUUCCCUGAAUCAUCUGUGGUAAUACUUCAGCUGGGUUUUGAAAGCGUAGGGAAAAAAAAAAGAUGAAAGGGAACUUGAAUCAACACUAUCUCCUGUGAUAGCCAGGGCUUUAAAAAUGCCUAAAGAUCUCUUUGAUUGCACACUGUUUGGGCCAUAUGCCAUCCUUUUAUUACUUAUCCAUGUAUUGGAGAGGUCACUGAUGUUCUGUUGAAAAUAUAUUUCUCUUUUGGCCAAAUCCAGGGGUAUUUUUAGCAGAAAAAUAAAAGGCUGAAAUCAUUAAAUUAUUUUUU
rnacentral:lncRNA from 12 species